rnacentral:misc_RNA from 1 species
AGUACCAGCUGCCAUUACAUCUGCCCCAACCAUAGCUUCUGCUCCUGUACCUGCUGCAUCUAAUCCGGAAAGAGAGGAGAGUAUGGGUGGAAAUGGACAUCAAAAUUCCUCUUCCUUCCGGAGAGAAAACUGGACUGCUAUGCAAUCAGUGCAGGACCUGAGAAAAUCGGGAACUGACAUCAAUGUAUCUUUGGCAGAAGUUUAAUUUCGUAUGUCCAUGCCUUUGAGCAUAACUGACUACAUUGAUGGAUACUGGUAUUCCACACGAGUUAUAUGGUGCUCAUAUUAUCUAAAUUAUCUGUAAGCUUAUUGAACCAUUGCUUUAGUAUGAAGUAGCUGGACAGGAGAACAGAUUGUCAGGCUAAUUAAAGUAGGCUUCUUUUAGUUUGCGAUGAGUAGAGUAUUUGGAUGUGAACAAUGCUGGUUGCCUUUUAUAGCUGCGUUUGUUAGUGACGAUUCUCUCAAAUUGGCCAAAUUUCUAUUGCUUCAGAAAGAAAGGAAGACACUGAUACGG